CUCGUAGGCGGCCAACUAAGUCAUACGUGAAAUCCUCAGCUUAACUGGGGAACUGCGUGUGAUACUGGAUGGCUUGGAUUUGGGAGAGGGAUGCGGAAUUCCAGGUGUAGCGGUGAAAUGCGUAGAUAUCUGGAGGAACACCGGUGGCGAAGGCGGCAUCCUGGACCAAUAUUGACGCUGAGGAGCGAAAGCCAGGGGAGCAAACG
rnacentral:rRNA from 1 species